UGGCGGACCCAGAGGAGGAGCUGGAGCUAAAACUAGCUGGAGUCAAGGCCCUCAAUGAAACGGUACGGAAAAACAUUGAAAAGGCACAGGGGAAACAAAAAAAGGCUUUUGAGGCAAAGAAAAGGAAAGGGGUUCGCCAGUGCUCAGUUAAGGCAGGGGACGAGGUCCUAAUUGGGGAGCCCAAAAAGAAGGUGAAGAAGGGAAAUUGUUUACAGGAUCUCCACCAAGGGCCAUUCACCCUCACAUCCCUGACAGAGAAGGGUGUGGCAAGUGUGGCUAUGUUAGGAAAAAUACAGAAAAUGAAUGUUGCACAGCUAAGGCCCUACUUUCGGCCACAAGAUCAUAGCCAUGAAUCGGAGGGCAGCCAAAACAAUGCAGAAGACAUUGGACUGGUGGACCACCAGUAUGCCAAUAAAGGUCCACUGUGGCACAAGAGGUUGUGUCCUCAACAAGAACAA